AGAGACUCCUUCUCUUCUCUUUUUUUCAUCAAGUCAAAGUAUUCUUUGCGCAUGACAAACUGUUGAAUUAUUCAACGACCAGUCACUAGUCAAUUUUUCCGGUGAGAUUUCCGGCGAGCUUCCAGCGGGAUUUCUGGGCGAGCUUCCGGUGGGGUUUUCUAUUGACUUCAGUUGAUCACUUCCGUUGUUUUUUCCGGUCAGUUGCUAAGGUGAGAUAGCCGAGCAGGAGUGAUUGCUUUCGGAUUGGUGCUUUGGGAGUUUUAUUCUUAUUUUCAGACUUCGGUUUUAUGCUUUUAUCGAUAUUUUCCGGAUUUAUUUUAUUUAUGCUAUUAUUGGAUUAUGGUGUUGAGUUUGACUUUUGAGAAGUAAUAAAUGGAGACUUUUAUGAGAUUA